rnacentral:lncRNA from 10 species
UGUGAGCAAUAAAGAUGUUUAUUUCACCUGGGUGCAGGAGGGCUGAGUCGGAAAAGAGAGUCAGUGAAGGGAGAUAAGGGUGGGGCCGUUUUAUAGGAUUUGGGUAGGUAAAGGAAAAAGGGGGGUUGUUCUCUGGCGGGCAGGAGUGGGGGGUCACAAGGUGCUCAGUAGGGGAGCUUUUGAGCCAGGAUGAGCCAGGAGAAGGAAUUUCACAAGAUAGUGUCAUCAGUUAAGGCAGGAACAAGCUAUUUUCAAUUCUUUUGUGGUGGAAUGUCAUCAGUUAAGGUGGGGCAGGGCAUAUUCACUUGUUGUGUGAUUCUUCAGUUACUUCAGGCCACCUGGGCGUAUACGUGCAAGUCACAGGGGAUGUGAUGGCUUGACUUGGGCUCAGAGGCCUGACAAGACUGAACUAGGGUUGGGAUUGUGUGACAAGCUGGUCUCUAUCAACCGUGUCUGUGUCCACGGCAUUGUUGUGUUGCGAUCGCGCUCCUCCUAGGUCAGAACUUACAGUGGGAGUUUGGGAGGCCGAAGUGGGUGGAUCACCUGAAAUCAGGAGUUCAAGACCAGCCUGGCCAACAUGGUGAAAUCCUGGCUCUUUACAAAUACAAAAAUUAUGGUGGGCACGGUGGCUCUCGCCUGUAAUCUCUGCACUUUGGGAGGCCAAGGCAGGCGGAUCACUGAGGUCAGGGGUUCGAGACCAGCCUGGCCAACAAGAUGAAACCCCAUCUCUACUAAAAAUACAAAACAAUUAGCUGGGUGUGGUGGCGGGUGCCUGUAAUCCCUGGCUACUCAGGAGGCUGAGGCAGGAGAAUUGCUUGAACCUGGGAGGCGGAGGUUGCAGUGAGCUGAGAUUACGCCACUGCACUCCAGCCUGGGUGGACAGAGCAAGAAUCGGAAAGCCUGACUCCAAUGGGGAUAAUUGGAUCUCAGGGUGGCAGGGACCAAGUGACAGAACUUAAUGACCAAAGGCAAGGUGGGUGGUUACCGCUUGGACAGCAGAGUCAGAGCAGCCACCAGAGUGCUAUGACUUGGCCGGGCGGUGGUUCAUGCCAGUAAUCCCAACACAUUGGGAGGCCCAGGUGGGAGAAUCUCUUAAGGCCAGGAGUUCGAGACUAGCCUGGGCAACAUAGUGAGACCUGUCUCUACAAAAAGUUUAAACAAUUAGCCAGAUGUGGUGGUGCAGGCCUGUGGUCCCAGCUACUCGGGAGGCUGAGGCAGGAGGAUCACUUGAGCCCAGGAGGUCGAGGCUGCAGUGAGCUGUGAUUGUGCCACUGCACUCCAGCCUGGGCAACAGAAUGAGACUCUAUCUCUAAAGAUAAUACAUUUUUAAAAAGAAUUCCAGGAAUCCACCCCUAACACCAGCCCCUCCCCUCCCUCUGCAGAACAAAGAAUGGAUAUAUUGUGAUGAAUUCA